CCGAGCUUACAACUCCCAAACCCCAGUGUGAACCGUACCCAAACCGUUGCCUCGGCGGGCGCCCCGCGCGGCCGCCGGAGGACCCAACCGAAACUCUCUCUCUCCCCCCCCAUCAGUCUCUCUGAGCAAAGCCUUCGGGCCUCCCCCCAGCGGGCGGCCUGGAAAACGAAUCA
rnacentral:misc_RNA from 1 species